rnacentral:rRNA from 1 species
AGAGCGAACGCUGGCGGCAUGCCUAAUACAUGCAAGUCGAACGAGACCUUCGGGUCUAGUGGCGCACGGGUGCGUAACGCGUGGGAAUCUACCCUUGGGUUCGGAAUAACAGUUGGAAACGACUGCUAAUACCGGAUGAUGACGAAAGUCCAAAGAUUUAUCGCCCAGGGAUGAGCCCGCGUAGGAUUAGCUAGUUGGUGAGGUAAAGGCUCACCAAGGCUACGAUCCUUAGCUGGUCUGAGAGGAUGAUCAGCCACACUGGGACUGAGACACGGCCCAGACUCCUACGGGAGCAGCAGUAGGGAAUAUU